GACCGAUAGUGAACCAGUACGUGAGGGAAAGGUGAAAAGUACUUCGAAUAGAAGGUGAAAUAGAUCCUGAAACCAUACGCUUACAAGCUGUCGGAGCCCUUUUAAUUUUAUUAUUAAGAGUAGGGUGACGACGUGCCUUUUGCAUAAUGAACCUACGAGUUAAUUUUUCCGGCAAGGUUAAGUAGUUCAGCUAUGGAGCCGUAGCGAAAGCGAGUCUGAAUAGGGCAUUUAGUCGGAAGAAUUAGACGCGAAACCGAGUGAUCUACCCAUGAGCAGGUUGAAGCUGUGGUAACACAUAGUGGAGGACCGAACCGGUUGACGUUGAAAAGUCUUCGGAUGACUUGUGGGUAGGGGUGAAAGGCUAAUCAAACUCGGAGAUAGCUCGUACUCCCCGAAAUGCAUUUAGGUGCAGCAUCGUGUUAAAUAUGACAGAGGUAGAGCUACUGAUUGGAUGAAGGGGUUUCAUCACCUACUAAUUCCUGAUAAACUCCGAAUGCUGUUAUUAUGUUUCACGGUAGUGAGGGCAUGGGUGCUAAGAUCCAUGUCCAAGAGGGAAACAACCCAGAUCAUCAGUUAAGGCCCCUAAGUAUAUAUUAAGUUGUAUAAACAAAGUUUAAUUACACACGACAUGCUAGGAUGUUGGCUUGGAAGCAG
rnacentral:rRNA from 1 species